rnacentral:rRNA from 1 species
CAUAGCGUUUUGGACCCACCUGAACCCAUUCCGAACUCAGAAGUGAAACGAAAUAGCGUCGAUGGUAGUGUGGGGUUUCCCCAUGUGAGAGUAGAACAUCGCCAGGC